rnacentral:rRNA from 1 species
AAUCAACGCUGGCGGCGUGCCUAACACAUGCAAGUCGAACGAGAAAGGGUAGCAAUACCUGAGUAAAGUGGCGCACGGGUGAGUAACACGUGACUAACCUACCCUGGAGUGGGGGAUAACUGAGGGAAACCUUAGCUAAUACCGCAUAAUACCUACGGGUCAAAGGAGCAAUUCGCUUUGGGAGGGGGUCGCGGCCGAUUAGUUAGUUGGCGGGGUAAUGGCCCACCAAGACAGUGAUCGGUAUCCGGCCUGAGAGGGCGCACGGACACACUGGAACUGAAACACGGUCCAGACUCCUACGGGAGGCAGCAGUGGGGAAUUUUGCGCAAUGGGGGAAACCCUGACGCAGCAACGCCGCGUGGAGGAUGAAGUACUUCGGUACGUAAACUCCUUUCGAUCGGGACGAUAAUGACGGUACCGGAAGAAGAAGCCCCGGCUAACUUCGUGCCAGCAGCCGCGGUAAUACGAGGGGGGCAAGCGUUGUUCGGAAUUAUUGGGCGUAAAGGGUGCGUAGGCGGUUUGGUAAGUCUUUUGUGAAAUCUAUGGGCUCAACUCAUAGACUGCAAGGGAAACUGCCG